CUGAGUACGGCGGAACACGUGAAAUUCCGUCGGAAUCCGGGAGGACCAUCUCCCAAGGCUAAAUACUCCCUAGUGACCGAUAGUGAACCAGUACCGUGAGGGAAAGGUGAAAAGCACCCCGGAAGGGGAGUGAAACAGUUCCUGAAACCGUGUGCCUACAAGUAGUUAGAGCCCGUUAAUGGGUGAUAGCGUGCCUUUUGUAGAAUGAACCGGCGAGUUACGAUUUGUUGCAAGGUUAAGCGGAAAAAGCGGAGCCGUAGCGAAAGCGAGUCUGAAUAGGGCGCAUAAGUAACAGGUCGUAGACCCGAAACCAGGUGAUCUACCCAUGUCCAGGAUGAAGGUAAGGUAAUACUUACUGGAGGUCCGAACCCACGCACGUUGAAAAGUGCGGGGAUGAGGUGUGGGUAGCGGAGAAAUUCCAAUCGAACUUGGAGAUAGCUGGUUCUCUCCGAAAUAGCUUUAGGGCUAGCCUCGAGGUAAAGAGUCAUGGAGGUAGAGCACUGUUUGGACUAGGGGCCCUUCUCGGGUUACCGAAUUCAGAUAAACUCCGAAUGCCAUGUACUUAUACUCGGGAGUCAGACUGCGAGUGAUAAGAUCCGUAGUCGAAAGGGAAACAGCCCAGACCACCAGUUAAGGUCCCCAAAUAUAUGUUAAGUGGAAAAGGAUGUGGGGUUGCUUAGACAACCAGGAUGUUGGCUUAGAAGCAGCCACCAUUGAAAGAGUGCGUAAUAGCUCACUGGUCGAGUGACCCCGCGCCGAAAAUGUACCGGGGCUAAACAUAUUACCGAAACUGUGGAUGAACCUCUUUAGAGGUUCGUGGUAGGAGAGCGUUCUAAGGGCGGUGAAGUCAGACCGGAAGGACUGGUGGAGCGCUUAGAAGUGAGAAUGCCGGUAUGAGUAGCGAAAGAAGGGUGAGAAUCCCUUCCACCGAAUAUCUAAGGUUUCCUGAGGAAGGCUCGUCCGCUCAGGGUUAGUCGGGACCUAAGCCGAGGCCGAUAGGCGUAGGCGAUGGACAACAGGUAGAGAUUCCUGUACCAGUGCUAAUUGUUUAACCGAUGGGGUGACACAGAAGGAUAGGGAAUCGCACGAAUGGAAAUGUGCGUCCAAGCAGUGAGUGUGAGAAGUAGGCAAAUCCGCUUCUCGCAAAGCAUGAGCUGUGAUGGGGAAGGAAAUUAAGUACGGAAGUUCCUGAUUUCACGCUGUCAAGAAAAGCCUCUAGGAAGAGUAGUACUGCCCGUACCGCAAACCGACACAGGUAGAUGAGGAGAGAAUCCUAAGGUGAGCGAGAGAACUCUCGUUAAGGAACUCGGCAAAAUGACCCCGUAACUUCGGGAGAAGGGGUGCUCUAUUAGGGUGCAAGCCCGAGAGAGCCGCAGUGAAUAGGCCCAGGCGACUGUUUAGCAAAAACACAGGUCUCUGCAAAACCGUAAGGUGACGUAUAGGGGCUGACGCCUGCCCGGUGCUGGAAGGUUAAGAGGAGUGCUUAGCUUCGGCGAAGGUACGAAUUGAAGCCCCAGUAAACGGCGGCCGUAACUAUAACGGUCCUAAGGUAGCGAAAUUCCUUGUCGGGUAAGUUCCGACCCGCACGAAAGGCGCAACGAUCUGGGCACUGUCUCAACGAGAGACUCGGUGAAAUUAUAGUACCUGUGAAGAUGCAGGUUACCCGCGACAGGACGGAAAGACCCCGUGGAGCUUUACUGCAACCUGAUAUGGAAUGUUUGUACCGCUUGUACAGGAUAGGUAGGAGCCGAAGAGACGUGUGCGCUAGCAUACGAGGAGGCAAUGGUGGGAUACUACCCUGGCUGUAUGACCAUUCUAACCCGCCACGCUUAGCGCGUGGGGAGACAGUGUCAGGUGGGCAGUUUGACUGGGGCGGUCGCCUCCUAAAGAGUAACGGAGGCGCCCAAAGGUUCCCUCAGAAUGGAUGGAAAUCAUUCGCAGAGUGUAAAGGCACAAGGGAGCUUGACUGCGAGACUGACAAGUCGAGCAGGGACGAAAGUCGGGCUUAGUGAUCCGGUGGUUCCGCAUGGAAGGGCCAUCGCUCAACGGAUAAAAGCUACCCCGGGGAUAACAGGCUUAUCUCCCCCAAGAGUCCACAUCGACGGGGAGGUUUGGCACCUCGAUGUCGGCUCGUCGCAUCCUGGGGCUGUAGUCGGUCCCAAGGGUUGGGCUGUUCGCCCAUUAAAGCGGCACGCGAGCUGGGUUCAGAACGUCGUGAGACAGUUCGGUCCCUAUCCGUCGCGGGCGCAGGAAAUUUGAGAGGAGCUGUCCUUAGUACGAGAGGACCGGGAUGGACACACCGCUGGUGUACCAGUUGUUCCGCCAGGAGCAUCGCUGGGUAGCUAUGUGUGGCAGGGAUAAACGCUGAAAGCAUCUAAGCGUGAAGCCCCCCUCAAGAUGAGAUUUCCCAUUUCUUCGGAAAGUAAGAUCCCUGAAAGAUGAUCAGGUAGAUAGGUUUGGAGUGGAAGUGUAGCGAUACAUGGAGCGGACAAAUACUAAUCGAUCGAGGACUUAACCAAAA
rnacentral:rRNA from 1 species